AACAGUCUAUUCUAGAUGUUUGCAGUCUUCAUGCACUGAUAUGGGAGCAAAGCAGACUCCAUCAGAGAAAAUCUCUCUGUGUGCUACCUUUACCUAGUUUAGCCCACAAGCCAAUGUGGUUUAUUGGGUUGUGGCCAUCGCCAUGCACAAGCAACUACUUGGAUCCAUAAGCAAUUGUUAGCUCAGCAG